CACAGCGGGGAGCUUCUCGAACGAGCGCGGGGAGCUUGAACGUAUGUGUGUGUAUGUGUGAGAGUGUGUGUUGGGUUGUUCGGGAUGGUGCAGUCAGAGUCAGCGUUGAGCGCGAGGACGAUGAUGUGCACUGCGAGGAGGAAGUGAUGGCGCGGUGUAGUGUGACUAGAAAAAUAAGAACCAAGUAGCGUGUCAUGAGUGAGUGCUUGGAUCUGUUCUUGUUUUUUUAUAGCCAGUAAUCAUGCUGAUUCCUGGCGAGAUAUCGCGUUGCUUGGACGGAGAAAGACAAAAAAAAGUAUAGUGAGUUGCGAAAUAAACAUGCGCGGGAUGGAGUUCUUUCCUUGUUUGCUUUCAAGGGGAAGAGUGAGCAUCAUCCCGUGUAACUCGAAAGCGGGGGUGGCGUAAGCGGUCCGUCAGUCGAGCGGUCGAGGUACAGCUAGAUGACAAAUACAGCACCAAGGCGGGUGCCAGUACAUCACCAGAAGUCCUUGCGAAACGAAUCGUUCGGCGGAGCUGCCCGUGGACUGUGUGCACCGGGACUAGAGAAAGACAAAUCGGUUCCAAGCAUGUGAGGAACGAAGUGCGAAUGUCGUGAGUCAAGCAAAGUUGGCAAAAUUAGUGACAAUUGCGGGAACUUCUUCUUUUGCUUGCAAAUUUGUCAUCACAAAAAGUGGCACAUUUCGUGGAGGUCUGGGCAGAACUGGCGCCACCUGCACACGCGUUGGACAACUGUCGCCAUCCGGUGGAGAAAGUAGCAAGCUCCGCUCCUUCCGCACAAGAAGAAGUCAGAGUGUGUCUUAUUUGGAGAACGGUGGCCGCCCGGCCGGUCGGGUGGCUGUGAUAAGACAGCUGUUGUGGUGUGUCAAGUGAAAGCGAGUCCAACCUUGUCUCGUCUCGAAUGUUUGUUGUCGAUAUGAUUCAUAUGUGAGACGCUUGAUCAACGCCGCUUCGUGUGAAGGCUCUAAUGGUGGGCACGUGUGAGUGAUUUUCCAGCGCAGCGGCGAUAAGCGACCGAUGGCUACUGUCGAGUGUGCAGAGUCUCUGAUAAGAGCGCAGCAGCGGCUUCGGAAGGUCUGUUCUGACAAGUGAAUGACUUGUUAAAGUGACAACAAAGCACAGUAACUGCCGGCUUUGGAGGCUUUCACAGCAGAGGAGGAGCAAGACAUUCGCACCGUGUGGACGGUUUCUGGUUGGAGCUUGGAUCGCGUGUGCAAGAAUCACCGCACUUCUGUCGGAACGCAGCGCUGGUGGCGGUAGUGAUGGCUAGAAAGAGAGCGCCGAGUCGACCCCCGGACCCCGUCGAACCGGACUGUGUGUGGUGGAGCCUUUCGUGCAGUCAACGUCGUUUUUGCUCUGGCAGUUGCUCGGUGGAGCGCAGCAAGUGUGGAUCGCGGAACAGAACCACCAUCAAGAACUCUACUCCUAGCCCGUGCCUGCCUGGUUACAACACACGAAACUGUGUGCAAAACGUCACAUCGCUGCCGUCACUGUUUGGCAAAAAAGGGUGGAAACAGUGAAAAAUAAGCAAACCAAUAAGAAUAUGAGUGUUGGAACAACGUGCAAUAGUCGGCGGCCGAAUCGAAGAAAACAUAAUCGUGAAACUCGUGAGCUUCUGUCGUUUGACAAUCAUAAACGUGAACGGCACAGAGAAAAAAAAACCUUCGUGAAAACGACUGCUGAAAGAACGCGUGAAAAUGACAAUCAAUCUUGUGCAAAUCGAUCAAAGUGUGCCUUGUGUUCUGUGAUAAUUUCGGUGUGCACCCCGCCUUCUGGGAUUAACCAAAACGAGACGUUCCAGUUCCGUACUUUGACAACUGAGACCACCAAAAAUCCAGCAAAGCGAUUCACGGAGGAGACACUCGAACUGGACACUACUCGACCCCUAAUCAUAAAUCAUCGUUUUAAAUGAUCUGAUGUUGGCCAUGGAUUGUCGAACAGGUGCAACACGUGCGGUGAUCUCAUGUUUCGCAAGCUGACAUCUGGCGGCCAGAGGAUGACUGAAGGACCACGACGACAGCCAGCAGGGUGUAAUUGACUUUGAAAGCGUUCAAAUUCUCACUCCGCGCCCCACUCGUACGGCCAACGGGAUAUUGCGGGACUCAGGGUGUGGAGCGAGCUCUUGCCCCGUUACAAAUUAAGUCAUAAAGGGCAAUAAAAGCAAAAUUUAUUAUCCUCCACGCUUGCUCGCCCGUUGAUGGCCUUUCAAACCCGAGCCCAAAAUCGAUUCUUGCCGGCUUGCUGGUUAUGGCUGGUAGAGUGGGCCCUUUCCCUUCCGAAAGUGCGGUCAUAAAUAAGGCGGCGGUGGUGCCGAUGACGACGAAUUCUCUCACUCUCCAUUACGCGCUUGGUCAGGAACGGGGGAAAAAAAUUCCUUGUGAUAAACACCGGUCGCAACUCGUUUGAAAGUUGCUGCAUCAUCGUUUACCUCAAAUAAGUCACCGACCGAGUGGAAAGUGUCGUGGACCUUUUCUUCAAGAGCCUGAAAUACUGGUG